UACGUAGGGUGCAAGCGUUGUCCGGAAUUAUUGGGCGUAAAGAGCUCGUAGGCGGUCUGUUACGUCUGCUGUGAAAACCCAGGGCUUAACCCUGGGCUUGCAGUGGAUACGGGCAGACUAGAGGCAGGUAGGGGAGAAUGGAAUUCCUGGUGUAGCGGUGAAAUGCGCAGAUAUCAGGAAGAACACCCGUGGCUAAGGCGGUUCUCUAGUACGGUACUGACGCUGAGACGCGAAAGCGUGGGGAGCGAACAGG
rnacentral:rRNA from 1 species